UUAUCAGCAGAAGCAGCCAGCUUGCUGGAAGCGGAAGAGGGAAAGGCUUACUGGCGGACGGGUGAGUAACGCGUGGGUAACCUGGCCCAUACAGGGGGAUAACACUUAGAAAUAGGUGCUAAUACCGCAUAACAACAGAAAGCGCAUGCUUUUUGUUUGAAAACCAAGGUGGUAUGGGAUGGACCCGCGUCUGAUUAGCUGGUUGGCGGGGUAAAGGCCCACCAAGGCGACGAUCAGUAGCCGGCCUGAGAGGGUGGACGGCCACAUUGGGACUGAGACACGGCCCAAACUCCUACGGGAGGCAGCAGUGGGGAAUAUUGCACAAUGGGGGAAACCCUGAUGCAGCGACGCCGCGUGAGUGAAGAAGUAAUUCGUUAUGUAAAGCUCUAUCAGCAGGGAAGAAAAUGACGGUACCUGAGUAAGAAGCCCCGGCUAACUACGUGCCAGCAGCCGCGGUAAUACGUAGGGGGCAAGCGUUAUCCGGAUUUACUGGGUGUAAAGGGAGCGUACACGGCAGUGCAAGUCUGGAGUGAAAGGCGGGGGCUCAACCCCCGGACUGCUCUGGAAACUGUACGGCUGGAGUGCAGGAGAGGUAAGUGGAAUUCCUAGUGUAGCGGUGAAAUGCGUAGAUAUUAAGAGGAACACCAGUGGCGAAGGCGGCUUACUGGACUGUAACUGACGUUGAG
rnacentral:rRNA from 1 species